rnacentral:misc_RNA from 1 species
GAUGAAGAACGUAGUGAAAUGCGAUAAGUAAUGUGAAUUGCAGAAUUCAGUGAAUCAUCGAAUCUUUGAACGCACAUUGCGCCCAUUAGUAUUCUAGUGGGCAUGCCUGUUCGAGCGUCAUUUCAACCCUUAAGCCUAGCUUAGUGUUGGGAAUCUGCUGUAUUGCAGUUCCUCAAAUACAACGGCGGAUCUGUAACAUCCUCUGAGCGUAGUAAAUUUUUAUCUCGCUUUUGUUAGGUGUUGCAGCUCUCAGCCGCUAAACCCCCCAAUUUUUGUGGUUGACCUCGGAUCAGGUAGGAAUACCCGCUGAACUUAAGCAUAUCAAUAAGCGGUGGA